GACGAACGCUGGCGGCGUGCCUAACACAUGCAAGUCGAACGGGGUAAUCCUCCGGGAUUACUUAGUGGCGAACGGGUGAGUAACGCGUGAAGAACCUGCCUUUCAGUGGGGGACAACAGUUGGAAACGACUGCUAAUACCGCAUAAUGUAACGAGACCGCAUGAUCUUGUUACCAAAGCUUUAUGUGCUGAAAGAUGGCUUCGCGUCUGAUUAGCUAGUUGGUGAGGUAACGGCUCACCAAGGCGACGAUCAGUAGCCGGACUGAGAGGUUGAACGGCCACAUUGGGACUGAGAUACGGCCCAG
rnacentral:rRNA from 1 species